UACGUAGGGUGCGAGCGUUGUCCGGAAUUAUUGGGCGUAAAGAGCUCGUAGGCGGUCUGUCGCGUCGAUCGUGAAAACUUGGGGCUUAACCCUGAGCUUGCGGUCGAUACGGGCAUGACUGGAGUUCGGCAGGGGAGACUGGAAUUCCUGGUGUAGCGGUGAAAUGCGCAGAUAUCAGGAGGAACACCGGUGGCGAAGGCGGGUCUCUGGGCCGAUACUGACGCUGAGGAGCGAAAGCCAGGGGAGCAAACGGG
rnacentral:rRNA from 1 species